AUCUAACUGACGAGUCCCGAAUAGGACAAAACGCGGGUCCUUCAU
rnacentral:hammerhead_ribozyme from 1 species